UUGAUUACCGUUGCUCGUUGCAGGCGUUGCACUGCCGUCUGGCGGCGGUGAGCCCCACGUCGGACAACUGGGAGCAGGACGCAUGUCGUCGGUUUGAGGAACUCGUCUGUGGGAAGACGCUGAGAGCACAACUUGAUCGGAUUGAAGUUCUGGAGUCGGGUCUACAGGUAGCACAUGUUUCCCUGUACAAUGGCAGUACGAGUAUAUCACAGCAGCUAGUGGAGGGUGGCUAUGCCAAGCCCUGCAAUACAGGUGCGGAGGGCGAUGGGGAAAAGUGCGCCCCGAAAGACGGUACAAAACCAUGCAAGGAUGAUAAAGCAUGCACAUGCCAAUAAACAUUUCUUCCCUCACAGGAUCGGGAGAUGCCGAAAGCGUGGAGCCGGUGAAUAGUUUCGACAGCGCAUGAAGGGAAUGACGACGCGACAAGUGAGCAUGCCACGCCAUCGGGACAGUGUCAUCGCCUCGUCGGACCGCGCACGGAUGAUGGCUGACCCCCUCGCGCAUUCCCCCUGUGAUGGUGAAUAUACCUACCUACGCCUUGCAAGCCGAGUUCCGAUCAGCAGCAGUAGCAGCGUUUAUAUCCGUGAGUUGCGUGAGCUUGCUAUUUUCGAUCCUCGCAAAAUACUGCGUGCGAGUUUGGUAUGUUGGAAGUGUGCUGGGAUGUACGUAGGAGACACCGAUUCCCACGGUCAGAACUCAACAAAUGAGAUGUGUGUUGCCCAGGAAACACCAGUUAUUGCACUUGAACUCCAUGUUUGUUUUUUCAACGUCAAAUUAUGCAUUUCGAGUGGAGUGUGAUUGCCAGAAUGACCUCAUGAGUUUAAUGUGAAAUCUAUCGAGGACUCUGUAGGAGACCAUAACAUUGUGCUGAUCGAUAUUAUAUGACGCAACGUGAUUCAACCUUAUUGUAUAAGCUAAAUUUUUUCCUCGCGUUUGAUUAGUUAAAGUUGUUUAGUUGUUAUAGUCAUUAAAUUGCAGUUAUAAUACUUCUCUGUUUCUACAAUAUACCUAUCGCAUAUUUACGUAUAGUCACCGAUGGUUGCAGUGCUGCUGCAUAGAUUGUGUAGCCUGAAAUGUCAUUAUCAGUUGUCUAUAAGCGAAAUCGGAUAGACGUUUACUUUUAUAAGCUCAUUCUUUUUGUUAAUAAGGUUAGUCAUGUCCAUGAACGAAUCCAAGGUGACCACUCAGGGUUGCUCGCAAUGAUGAUUAUUCACCCUUGAAAAGUUGGUAACAUUUUCAAAAUCCAGUGCUAAAAUUUGUUUGUCAUAUGCAAUCAAUGUAAAAUCAUACGCAUUCUCAUGUACCAAGGUGAAGGUAUGGGAUAGCAUAUGAAUCAGUGUUGCUUUCAAUUGCUCAUCAUAGUUGAAAUGUAUGGAAAGUCGUUUUGUAUUAUUAUCAAGUGAAGAGCCUAUGGGUAAAUACAGGAGCCGACGACGAAAUGUUGAAUUUAACAGUUUAGUUUCCAUUUGAAAGGCAUUUUUUCUUUGUAAAACAGCUACUGUAUUGCCAUAAAUAAUUGCAAUGGCCUACGCUGGUUUGACAACUGUUUACUUCAAUUAUCUCAUAGAACGUUAUAUUGUAAUAUGCAUCUAUUUAAUAAAGUGUAUUCACAUUUAA